rnacentral:lncRNA from 1 species
GCACCUUCUCUGGGCGCUGUGGGUCUGUGUGUGUCCGGACUGGGAGAUCCCGAGUGCCUCCCGGUGCGAGUUCCCACUCACCACUCCCUGGAGGAAGACGGGAGCUUGGAGGCAGGGUUGGAGUCUGCGGCGUCAGCCCAGGAUGCUCACCCGUGGGAGAGGACACCCGGACGAGACCAGGACGGGGCGUCUCAGGAGUGAGAAUUGUAUUUCUGGGGAAAUGGGAUUUUAUUCCUUAAAACGUUCACAUGUAACUUGGCGCCUUCCUGUCCAGGCUGAUGUUUUAAGACGCGGCCGUGCCUCACCCCGGAGUGCUAGCAAAGUGUUGUGGAAGGCCAGCCUCCAGCAACGUUCCUGCGGCCCGAGGUAGCGGGGCAGCGAUGGUCCUGAAGCGUGAGCACUGUGGGGCUCACUUCCACUUUGCCAGGCUGGACCAGCCUUCCUGAAACGGUCCCUCCAUCAGACUGAACAAUGUCUGUUAAAUGAAGAAUGAAUAGACAGAAGAAGGGGGAUGGGAGUGUGCCAUUUCCCAAAUUCCCUGAUCUCAGAAAUGAAACAACAACAACAACAACAACAAAAACCACUUUUUA